rnacentral:lncRNA from 1 species
AGUCCUAUCCCUACGGUCCUGGAAUUGGGGGUUACUAUCUUGGAAUCUAGGGGCACUCCAGGCUCUGGGCUCAGACGGCUGGCUUCUGCCUACCCGAGCCUUAACCUUUCAAGGACCAGAAGGAUUCCAGAGCUCUUGCCCUAGGUCCUGGGGCAGCGAUGACUCACUGCAGCACCCCCUCCCACUUCGCCAAGCUGCCGUCUCCGCCCACCCCCAAACAAUCUCGACAGCGCAUUUCGGGAGCCACGGCUCCGGGCGCUUUGCUGGGGGCUAAAGGGGUUUAUCCCUUUCCUUGAAUCCCAGCAGGCUAGAACUACCCCCUCCCAGUCUUCAGGCUUGCCACGCUCUCCACCCGAUCCUUCCAUUGAAAGGCAGAGAAGGAAGGAUGUGCUUGGGAACUUUAAGACCCACGAACGACAGCGCACUGAUGGAGCAGCCCAGUGUCUGGGGCAAAGUCCUCGAGGUUCAUUCAUUCAGGAAGCCUCUGACCAGCCUUUACCAUGCGCUGAGUGAGAAGCUGAGGAUAAGGAAAGAGCAAGACCCCCAAGAAACCCUGAUGUCUGGCUGAAAGCCGAAGCAUGACGCAACUUUGCUAUAUUUCUCUCCAACAAGGAUUUGUAUAUUUUCGCUUUCUCCUCAAGUAACACCUGGACCUGCUCCUUUCCCUUCAAACGCUGAGGGCUCAGUCUCCAAGUUCCUUUAUGAAACAGGGUGUACCAUCAGAGACGCAGGUAUUUAUUGAAACCUGCUUUGUGCUGGGCAAUGUGCCAGAUGUUGGGGAUAAAAUGGAGACUUCAGAAAUGAAGAUGCAAAGACAACAGGGGAAACCAUAUAUGUUUAUGGACAGUCAUGCCAAAGUAUGAUUGGAAGACAAAAAGACCUGUGAUCUCACUAUGUUGCCUCGGCUGCUCUGAAACUCCUGGCCUCAAGUGAUCCCCCCUGCCUUGGCCUCCACAGUGCUGGAACUAUAGGUAUGAGCCAUUGCACCCAGCCAGGAAAUACAAUUUUCGAAAGACUAAACAAGUUUCUAAAAUCAUGGCACAAUUAAGUAGCAAAAUUAGAAUACAGAGUGGGCUUGUUGGAAAGCGUCAACUAUUAAUCACCAUGCCAUACUUUUGAGGAGCAGACCCCACACUUGUAACCAGGCCCUUCAAUUUAUCAUUCCUGCAAGUCAAGACUUCACCUGUGAACCAGCUGCCCUCUGCCAGCCCAACUUCGUGGAUGUGCAAUCUCUACAGUUGCACAGGGUCCCGUGUUUAGUUUAGUACUUUGCUUUUGCUAUCUUUAAAUACUUAAUAAUUUUUAAACAAGAGAUUCCAUAUUUUUAUUUUGCACUGAGCUUCACAAAUUACAAAGUCAGCGCUAUCCACAGUACCCAAGCUAUAAUUAAUACAAAGCUUUAAAAGCUGCAUGGAGUUUAGCUGAAAUUGCUGCCCAGUCCGAAGCUAAUUUUGGAAGAUGCUGUUCGGUCUUAGGUUAUGAAAAACGGUUCUGCCCUUUUACAACUCCAGCAGGAAGAGCUAAGCUCCCAAUAUUCCGUCCAUUAAUGUCCCUGGUGAGAGUCUUCAAAACUCACGAGCAACAAUGCAAGAAUUUCCCAGCCUUCAACGUGUGACCCACUUCUACAUUAUUGACUCCAAUAAACUGACCAAUUAAAUGUUUUUGUGGUCACAGAACUUGUAAUUAUGUGGUUAAAGAUGUUUCAGAUAUAUCACAUUCUUUCACACUGUGGCAGAAACUAUUGGUUAAAUAACUCAGCCAUGUCUAUCUUCCUUGUCCAAUCUGCACAAAAGAGACUGGAAAAAAGCUGGACACUUGCUUCUUUCCCAUCCUCCUUUGCAGAUUUUUGGCCAAUUCACUGCUCACUAACAUCUCCAUCAAAGGGAAAAACACACAUUGUAAAAUAAGAAUUCUUCAAAGACAACUUGAAGACAUCUGGGAAUUCUGAAGCCUGAAAAUUCCAUGAGUUCAUAGCAGUGUUCACUAAUUCCACUGAUCUAAAGACAAAAAGGAGAGUCAACUGCGUGCCCAAACUCAUUUCUGAUGAUUUCUUCCAUCCUAACUUUUCUGCCUCUCUGGGGGUGGUUAUGCCUGUGAAAAACAUUGAAGCUGUCAGGAACAGAGUCGGCUUUCAAGAUUGGAAUGUCAAAGUAGAGUCUUCUUUUCCUCAGACCAGAAGGGGCUUGGUUGGGUAAGAGUUUCCAGAUCUAAAUGGAGACAGGACUGGGAUAUAGGAGCUUGUACGGAUAAACAACACAAACACCUUGGGUAAGUGAUACACCAAGAGAGAUCAAAAUAGGGUAGGAACACGAUCCUAAAGCUAUGUGAGAUACGAAGCCAAGAGACCCUGUCUACAGGCUGAUAUGUAUUGCAACCAGAGGCCACCUACACUCAAGAAAAUUCUAAAUGAUGUAAUAGGUUGUGGACACUUUCUUGUAAAAAUGAUCGAUAUUUUUUUCUUAUAGGGAUAAAGCUUAAAAGCAUGGGAUGUAUCUCCAUUAGGAAAUAUGAAGUGAGUUGGUAUAUUACAGGUAGGUUAGACUGAGAUAAUUAUAAAACUGGGCUGAUUUUACAUAGAGAAGAACUUGAUUCCUAAAGGUGUUGAAGGACAAGAUGGGGACAGUUAUUGAAGUGUUCAGGUGCUGUCCUUUGUAGUCUGUAGCCUAUUAAAAUAAUACACAACUGAACACAGACCCAAGGAAAGGGGUUCUACUCAUCGCUAGAAUGUAAACUCUAAGAAGAUAAGGAUUUUGUCUGCUUCAUUUAUUACUGUAUUCCCAGCUCCUAAAAGAGUGUCCAGCACUUAGUAUCUGUUGGUAAGUACCUGUUGAAUUAAUUAACCAGUGAUGAGACUUUGGAAAGCAGCUAGUCCAUCUGUAAGAUUGUUUUCUCAUCUGUGAGAUGAGUCAGUUAGAUUAGAUGUUUUCUAAGCUUAUUCUAGUUUUAAAAUUGUAUAUUUCUAUAAGAAAUGAUAAAUGAAAAAUGUCCAUUCCUUUUUCAUCUCCAUCACCCAUCUCACAUCUUCCUUCAGUGCCUAUGUGAUCUGUUUGAGUAUAACCAGGUGUACAAAAGUACUAAGUGAUAUGAGAUGACUUCAGUAGUCCAGGGACUCUUUCUUCCCCCACUCUGUAAAGAGUUAUUUGCUUAAUUUAAUGUACAUUAUAAAAACAGAAUUUGUUUCUCAAUUUCAUUUAUACUCAUACUAUAGUUUACUUUUCACAUAAAUUUAAGGUACAAGGAAGUCAACUUAAAGAAAAUAUUUUAAGUAAAUUAUAAUGCAAGUUCUACACAGAUGUAGCGCAAACCACAAUGGUAGGACACAAGCAAUUGCUAUUUGAGAAAUAGGCCUCUUUGUCAGUACUUAUGGCACGUAUCUUAAAACCCGACUUUCACUAGUGCUCUCAAAGGAACUUAGUCACAAUUCAAGUGACCAUACCAUUUAGCUGAGGGCCCUUUAUUCCUGUUUAUGGUAAAAUAAUUGCCUUAGUUGUACUUUUAAAAAAUAUACUUUUUCUUCUUCUGACCGUAAUGGGCUAACUGCCAUUAAAGAGACCAUCUAUCAUAAACGAUUAGAGAACUGGAUAGAAUAUAUGAAGCCACUGUUUUUGGACAAUAGGCAGCACAAAACGAUGAUCCCUGAGAAAAAGGAAGGAAAUGAGGUGAUGCCUAUAAUUGCCCUGAUUUUUUGCCUGGAGAUACUGUCUGAACUGCUACUCUGGAAAGGAAAACUCAGGUGAAACAUGGGGCCUCACUAAGUAGAGGAGACAGGGUCAAUAUUGGGAAAGCUGAAAUGACUGGAAUUUGCAGGGCAGAAUAUGGGGAAGGAAGGAGCUAUGUAGGGAAAGAGCUCAAGAAAUACGCACAAAGGGGUCGGGUGCGGUGGCUCACGCCUGUAAUCCCAGCACUUUGGGAGGCCGAGGUGGGCAGGUUACUUGAGGCUAGGAGUUCAAGACCAGCCUGACCAACCUGGUGAAACUCUGUCUCUACUAAAAAUACAAAAAUUAACCGGGCAUGGCCGGAUGCGGUGGCUCCUGCCUGUAAUCCCAGCACUUUGGGAGGCCGAAGCGGGUGGAUCACAAGAUCAGGAAUUCGAGACCAGCCUGACCAACAUGGUGAAACCCUUUCUCUACUAAAAAUACAAAUAUUAGCUGGGUGUGGUGGUGCAUGCCUGUAAUUCUAGCUACUCAGGAGGCUGAGGCAGGAGAAUCGCUUGAACCCAGAAGGCGGAGGUUGCAGUGAGCCAAGACCGUGCCACUACACUCCAGCCUGAGAGACAGAGCAAAACUCCAUCUCAAAAAAAAAAAAAAAAAAAAAAAAUUAGUCAGGCAUGGUGGCAGGCACCUGUAAUCCCAGCUACUCAUAGGCUGAGGCACAAGAAUCACUUGAACCCAGGUGGCAGAAGUCACAGUGAGUGAAGAUCGCACCACUGCAUUUCCAGCCUGAGUGACAAAGUGAGAGACUGUCUCAAAAAUAAAAAUAAAAAUAAAAGAAUAUGCAAAGGAUGUUCUUGAGUUUUUGGCUGAUUAUGAAACUAUAUAGGGUAAGACUCCACAAGUGAAAGAACAGUACUUGGAAAGACAAUUACUGAAGAACUAUAAACUGAACAACUACCAGAUCUCCUCCUGAACUGAAAUAUAUUCAAGUUCCAGCCAAAGUCGAGACACACAAUUGAAUUUAUGCAUCAUUUAGUAGAGACCCCAAAAUAUUCAUGCCUCAGUAGUAAUGCAAAAUUGUCCCUACAAUAAAAACUACAGUAGCUCCCCCUUAUCCAUAGUCUUACUUCCUGGAGCUUCAGUUACCCACAGUCAACUUCAGUCCAAAAAUAUUCAAUGGAAAAUCUCAGAAAUAAGCAAUUCAUAAAUUUUAAAUUGUACACUGUUCUGAGUAGCAUAACGAAAUUUCAAGCCAGCCCACUCUGUCCCACCCAGAACAUGAAUCAUCCCUUUGUCCAGUAUAUGCUACCCUCCCAUUGGUCACUUAGGUUAUCAGAAUGACUGUGGCAGUAUCGCAGUGCUUAUACACAAGUAACCGUUGUUUCGUUUAAUAACAGCCCCCACAUGCAAGAAUAGCAAUGCUGGCAAUUUGGAUAAGCCAAAGAGAAGCCACAAAGUACUUCAAGUAAAAAUGUGAAAGUUCUUGACUUAACAAGGAAAAAAAAGUCAUGCUGAGGCAGCUGAGAUCUACAGUAUCAGCCCAAGAAAAAUAAAAAACAUAUGUCUGCUACACAGACUGCUUGUCUACCUAUGUAUCAACACUUGUUGAACAUAAUGUGAAUGAAUCUCAAAAAUAUUUUGCUGAGUAAAAGUGCCCAAUCCCCAAAAACUACACAUCAUAUGACUCAAUUUGUUUGAAGAUCUAAAACAGUUGAAGAAACCGAAGCACAAAGAAUAACUUGUCCAAGAUCACAGAGUUUAGGAAGUAAGGAAGCAGGGCUUUGAGCUUUGCAUCAAGUGAUGACCCAUAAAUGCAAAUGGAAUACAACAGGAGUGGGUCCCUAAAGUCCCACCCAGAGAAUGCCCUUCUGCCAAAAAAUUUCGGAUUGAAACAGCAAAAACACCUAAGCAACUGAUAGUCAGGUAUUUCUUUGGAGGCCAAGUCACAUGGGAACCUCUUUGUCCACCUUCCCUCUCAGGGCCCAAAUAUCCCUCUCCAAAGAUUCAGAAGCAAAAUGGGAGGAAGUUGACAAUGAUGACAAUCUAUGCCUGACUUCAGCCCCAAGGAAGGUUUGACCUAGAGAGGUGUGAAGAUGUCAAACCUACACUGUCCAAUAUGGUAGCCAGUAGCACAUGUGACUCUUUACAUUGACUUUUAAAUGGACUACAAUUAAAUAAAAUUUAAAAAUCCAUUUCACGGGCAUACCAGCCACAUUUCAAGUAUGUCGUAGCUGCAUGUAACUAAUGGCUACUAUACCGGAAAGCACACACAGAAAAUGUUUCAUCAUCACAUAAAAUUCUGUUGAACAAAUCUGUGUUGAAUAACAACACACUUAGGACUGUGUUCAAUCCUAAGUUGAACACAAUCCUUAGGAUCUUGCUGAAUGGACAGAGCUGCAGUGGGAAAGGAGAAGAGUGAGGCUCUAGGAAAAUCCUGCCCUCUAAAAAAUGAAGGGCUCGUUCUAUGGUUGGCCUCCAUGCCAUGACCAAAGAUCAUGGACAGGUUAAAUCGAUUAGGAAAGCACUUCUCACAUAUCUAACCUGCCCUGCCAUGGGUUCAAUUUACGUAGUACACUGGACAAUGUAGCUUGAAUCCUAAAUUCAAAUGUGUUAAAUAUUCUUAGUAUUCCGUCUGUAUACUAACAAAGAAAAAAAUGUUAAGUGACUGUGCCACGCUCUCCUUCCAGAGCAGUGUUUCUUAAUUUCAGCACUACUGACAUUUUGGGCCAGAUAAGUCUUUGCUGUGGGGGCUUGUCCCACGCACUGCAGGAUGUUUGGCAGCACCCCUGGCCUCCACCCUCUAGAUGCUGGGAGCACUCUCCACCUCCACCCCCAUUGUAACAACUAAAAAUGUUGCCAGACGUUACCCAGUGUACGCUGGAGGGAAAAAUCACUCCAGGGUGAGGGCCACUGAUCUAGAAUAUGAUACAUGGCAUCUGUGAUAUGAGAAAAUGACCUUGGGCCUGGUCGUAAAAGAAUGUGCCACCUCCUCACCUGAAACACAACCAAGCAGUGGCCCGUGACUGACUUGGCAAAAUAACACUUUGUUCAGAGGAAGCUCAUAAAACAGUUUUGGCCGGGAGGAUGAGCUAACCUCAUAAUAGGUACUUGAGAGAAGCCACCCCGCUAAUGCAUGCUGUGUACCAUGAUUAGGAUUGACUUAACUAGGGUGAAGAAAUCAUAUAAUUUGCUGUGUCUACAGAUAUGUAAGUAAUCCAAAUGUGUGUUUCUUUUUUAAGUAUCAAAGGAUAAUUCUAGAAUAAAAUUCAUAGUCACAGUCAUAUUAAAAAACGUCCACAUUUUCAAAAGUCUAACUACAUUUUUCACUCUCCUCUAAAAAUGGAGACACAACACUGUGUUCUAACCUGAAGAUUUGCAUACUCAAUUCUAACUCAAAACUUUAUCUGCUGACAUCCGUGCUUCAUAAAUAAUUCCCAUGUGAUAAUUAUGUAUCUUGAGCAGAAUUACCAAUGCAUUUGUCUUGAAUGCUUAAUAUAUUUAAUGGGAAAUGUCUCGGGAAUUUUCAGUUCUGUCACUGCCAAGAGGAGGAAGUAUUAACCAUUCAGAAUAAGAUACUCACAUUAGAUUUUGUGCAUUAAGAAAGUCACAACUGAGGCUGUAGGACUUAAAUAGAUGUUUCUCCAGAGAAACAAUAGUCACUACUACACUCCCUUUCCUCCCUUAAAAGGCUGUCCAUUCCUAAAGGGUAGGGACUAUAUGUUCUUCCAGUACCUCUACUAGUGUUCUGUGCAUAUUAGGCAUUUAAUACAAUUUUUGUGCAUGAACAGACAGACUCAGAACAAAGCCUCUGAGUAUAUUGCCAUCCAGCUUGGAUGAGGAUAUAAGUCUCUUAAUCCCCAACUUAUCUUGUUUUCUAACACAAGCAAUAUAUGGGGAAUUAUGCUUAAGAGGCUGUGCCACUUUGUAUUUAAAAACCCAACUCUGUUUUUUAGACUCCUUGUUCCUUAAGUUGGUUAUGUGUUAGGUGACCUUGCUAGUUCCCUAAUUUUUCCAAGUUUCCAUUUUCUCACCAAUAAAUCGAGACUAAUUAAUAAUGACACAUUAAUUUGAGGUCUAAAUGAGAAAAUCUACACAAGGCUUUUAGCACACUGCCUGACACAUAGAAAGUGUUUUCUAAAUGCUAGCUAUUAUUUUUAUGGCAUAAUUCUGUCAUAGAUCCAAAAAGACUUUUUUAUUUUUAAAAAAUCAUAGUCGCAUUUUUUUAAUUAUUACUUUUCUUCUCUUUGAAGUCAAUCCUCUCAACACAGCUUGAGAAUUGCAAUGAAUUUGGGGAUCUGAGAAACAAUCUUUUCUAAAUAUUUGUAUGUUAUUUGGAAACAAUUACAGUGGCAAAAGAGAACAAGAGGCUACCUUUUAGUAUCAAUCUAUCUGUACACUUAAAAAAAAAAAAAAAAAGAAAAAAGCAGCCCAUGACAAGUACAUGCUGAUUUUUAAGAAGAGGUGAGGUAAAAGUGGUACAGCUUUAUUAAGUACAAGAACUUAACAAUCCCUUUUAUUAAACAGAACUUGAAUUUGUAUUACACUGAAUUUAUAGAUCAAUUUGAGGAGGAUUGAUAUGGGUAUGAUAUGGAGUCUUGUUAUUUAAUAAUGUGGUUUCUCACUUAGGAUUGUCUUAUAUCUUUCAAUAAUUUUAGAAUUCUUUUUUAAAAGUUCUUGCAUAUCAUUUCUCAGGUUUGCUUUAAACGGCUGUACAGAUUUUUGAAUGGGGUAUUAUUAAUUGUUCGAAUUGGUUAAAGCAAGAAUGCUAUUGUUUUUGUAUAUUGAUCCUCUAUCCAAAAAAUGUACUGAAUUCUCUAACUACUGCUAGUUUGCAGAUUUUCCUGGAUUUGCAAAGUUAAAAAUCAUAUGCAAAUAAAUAAUUUUGUAUCUUCCAUUUUACUUUUGUUAUAUUUUAUUUCUCUUGCCUUAUUUAGUUAACUAGAAUGUCCAGUUAAUAUUAAAUGUGGAUAAUGUCCAAGGGCAUUGUUUGCUUAUAUUUUCCUUAAAAGGAAUGCUUCUAAUGUUUAACCAUUAAUAUAAUGUUAGCUAUACAUUUUUUUAUUGACUAAGAAAGUUUAUUUUUUCUUAAUUCAAGACGGAUUAAAGACUUAAAUGUUAGACCUAAAACCAU